rnacentral:rRNA from 1 species
AACGAACGCUGGCGGCAGGCUUAACACAUGCAAGUCGAGCGCCCCGCAAGGGGAGCGGCAGACGGGUGAGUAACACGUGGGAAUCUACCCUUUGGUACGGAACAACUCCGGGAAACUGGAGCUGAUACCGUAUGUGUCCUUCGGGAGAAAGAUUUAUCGCCAAAGGAUGAGCCCGCGUCGGAUUAGCUAGUUGGUGUGGUAAUGGCGCACCAAGGCGACGAUCCGUAGCUGGUCUGAGAGGAUGACCAGCCACAUUGGGACUGAGACACGGCCCAAACUCCUACGGGAGGCAGCAGUGGGGAAUAUUGGACAAUGGGCGCAAGCCUGAUCCAGCCAUGCCGCGUGAGUGAUGAAGGCCUUAGGGUUGUAAAGCUCUUUCACCCACGACGAUAAUGACGGUAGUGGGAGAAGAAGCCCCGGCUAACUUCGUG